rnacentral:rRNA from 1 species
UACGGAGGGUGCGAGCGUUGUCCGGAAUCACUGGGCGUAAAGGGCGCGUAGGCGGCCUGAUAAGUAGGGGGUGAAAUCCUGCGGCUUAACCGCAGGGCUGCCUUCUAAACUGUCGGGCUAGAGCACGGUAGAGGCAGAUGGAAUUCCCGGUGUAGCGGUGGAAUGCGUAGAGAUCCGGAAGAACACCGGUGGCGAAGGCGGCCCGCUGGGCAGUGACUGACGCUGAGGCGCGACAGCGUGGGGAGCAAACAGG